rnacentral:rRNA from 1 species
AACGAACGCUGGCGGCAUGCCUAACACAUGCAAGUCGAACGAGACCUUCGGGUCUAUUGGCGCACGGGUGCGUAACGCGUGGGAACCUGCCCUUAGGUUCGGAAUAACUCCCCGAAAGGGGUGCUAAUACCGGAUAAUGUCUUCGGACCAAAGAUUUAUCGCCUUUGGAUGGGCCCGCGUUGGAUUAGCUAGUUGGUAGGGUAAAAGCCUACCAAGGCGACGAUCCAUAGCUGGUCUGAGAGGAUGAUCAGCCACACUGGGACUGAGACACGGCCCAGACUCCUACGGGAGGCAGCAGUGGGGAAUAUUGGACAAUGGGCGAAAGCCUGAUCCAGCAAUGCCGCGUGAGUGAUGAAGGCCUUAGGGUUGUAAAGCUCUUUUACCCGGGAUGAUAAUGACAGUACCGGGAGAAUAAGCUCUGGCUAACUCCGUG